AAAUGCGAUAAGUAAUGCGAAUUGCAGAAUUCAGUGAAUCAUCGAAUCUUUGAACGCACAUUGCGCCCCCUGGUAUUCCGGGGGGCAUGCCUGUUCGAGCGUCAUUUCACCACUCAAGCCUCGCUUGGUAUUGGGCAACGCGGUCCGCCGCGUGCCUCAAAUCGACCGGCUGGGUCUUCUGUCCCCUAAGCGUUGUGGAAACUAUUCGCUAAAGGGUGCUCGGGAGGCUACGCCGUAAAACAACCCCAUUUCUAAGGUUGACCUCGGAUCAGGUAGGGAUACCCGCUGAACUUAAGC
rnacentral:misc_RNA from 1 species